AGUUACUGAAUGAACCAACACGUGAAGUCAUCUUUUCUCCCCUCCUGUUUCUCAUCACAUGCGGAACUAGCGCCUUUGUUUCACAAUACCAUAUAAACUCCUCGUAGCUUCUGGUAUAUGAGAUUGCCACACAUUUUUUUAGUCCUGCUCUGCAAUGGGUUAAGUAGAAUUUUGCUCCAAAACCAAUGUCACGAUUCCCUGCAAAGAAUCUUGUGAACCUGUAGAUUUCUACCCUCCUAAGCCCUGUGAUGAUUUUACAAAGAAGCAUACGCAAUGCGAAAGGACAGAUAAGCCUUGUCUACAAGAAAAUCUUAGCACAGAUUUUUCUUUUUCAACUCUCUUCUCCCAACACUCCUGAAACACCUCUGCUCCACACAAUUUUUCAUUCUGUCUUUGUCCUGCACAUUACUGUGCAGGCCGCUUAGGUGGCAAGUCAUUAUAGUAAUCUUUUUCUUUUCCUUCACAAAAAAAAAGAGGACAAACUUUCAGAGGCUUAUUUUUGUCUCCUGCUCACUUCUCUGACAAAAGAAGUAUAGAUAUGCACAUGGCAGACAGAAAGAAGUCUGCCUGGGAAGCCCCAGGACCUGGGUCUGCACUGUUUCCUGCGAAAGCUGGGGUAAUCUUUUCAAACAGCCCCGCAGUGGUGUCUGCUGAGCUCCUGUGAGCGGACAAGGUUUGUAAACAGGCAAGACCUAGGGAACUCUGUUCCUUCUAAUAUCCAGGGCCUCCACCAGCUUUGUUUGCCAGUGAUGGAUAAAAACCAAACCUCCAAAGGGCUCAAAUAUUCAGGGGGAAAAAAGGAGAAAAAAGCAGUAUAUUCAUAGCAUGUUUUCCUCAGUGUCUGCCUCACGCACACUUCUUAUGAGAGAGAAGAAUAUUGCCUGGUGUAAGAUGUUCACCCACCUUUUGCCCCCAGACGUCUGUACUUAGAACAAGCUUGGAGGAAAGUUAGCAUCGGUAUCAUCCCCUUCUGAUGGCUUAACAGAAAAGCAAAAUAGCACCAUAAGGCCUCAGGAGAGAAAUGAUUUUAAAGCAUGUUAAAACCACAAAUGCCAUGCAAAUAGAUGCUACAGAAAAACAGAGAGCACUUUGAGAACUAAUGACCUCAGAGCUUGCAGGUCUCAAGUAGCCCCUGUAAAAGGUCAAUUAAUACAGGAUGGAGGAUUAACGAGCAGGAGCUGCUGCUGCCCCUUCCAGCACCUGGGGCAUGGAUGCAAGCAAAAGCCUCAGACUCUUAGAUCUUCAAUCUCUUCUCAUCAUCUGCUUGGAGCCUGCAUGAGGAAGGGCCAGCGGACCACACAGUGUGUAAGUUGAAGAAGCUGAGAUUCCCCAUUGAUGAUGCUUAAGAAACAUCAGAAUUGGGUUCAGAAGUUCAGGAAAGCUCCUCAUCCAUUGUCAUGGCACGUGUGCUUUGGGAAGGCCCACACUCUCAGCUAGAUCCUGGGCCAUCACAUCUUCUCUCUCUUUUCUUUUUUUUAAAUUAAUUGCAGUAACAUUGGAUUAUAAA
rnacentral:lncRNA from 1 species